UCAAUAAGCGGAGGAAAAGAAACUAACAAGGAUUCCCCUAGUAACUGCGAGUGAAGCGGGAAGAGCUCAAAUUUAAAAUCUGGUAGUCUUUGGCUGCCCGAGUUGUAAUCUAGAGAAGCGUUAUCCGCGCUGGACCGUGUACAAGUCUCCUGGAAUGGAGCGUCAUAGAGGGUGAGAAUCCCGUCUUUGACACGGACUACCAGGGCUUUGUGAUACGCUCUCGAAGAGUCGAGUUGUUUGGGAAUGCAGCUCUAAAUGGGUGGUAAAUUCCAUCUAAAGCUAAAUAUUGGCGAGAGACCGAUAGCGAACAAGUACCGUGAGGGAAAGAUGAAAAGAACUUUGGAAAGAGAGUUAAACAGUACGUGAAAUUGUUGAAAGGGAAACGCUUGAAGUCAGUCACGUUGGCUAGGAAUCAGCCUUGCUUUUGCUUGGUGUAUUUCCUGGUUUUAACGGGUCAGCAUCAAUUUCGACCGAUGGAAAAAGGUCAGGGGAAUGUGGCAUCUUAGGAUGUGUUAUAGCCCUUGGUCGUAUACAUCGGUUGGGAUUGAGGAACUCAGCACGCCGCAAGGUCGGGUUAUCUAACCACGUUCGUGCUUAGGAUGCUGGCAUAAUGGCUUUAAUCGACCCGUCUUGAAACACGGACCAAGGAGUCUAACAUGCCUGCGAGUGUUUGGGUGGAAAACCCGAGCGCGUAAUGAAAGUGAAAGUUGAGAUCCCUGUCGUGGGGAGCAUCGACGCCCGGACCAGACCUUCUGUGACGGAUCCGCGGUAGAGCAUGUAUGUUGGGACCCGAAAGAUGGUGAACUAUGCCUGAAUAGGGUGAAGCCAGAGGAAACUCUGGUGGAGGCUCGUAGCGAUUCUGACGUGCAAAUCGAUCGUCAAAUUUGGGUAUAGGGGCGAAAGACUAAUCGAACCAUC
rnacentral:rRNA from 1 species